AGCAGUCGCCGCGGGAAUACGAAGGGGGCUAGCGUUGCUCGGAAUCACUGGGCGUAAAGGGUGCGUGGGCGGGUCUUUAAGUCAGGGGUGAAAUCCUGGAGCUCAACUCCAGAACUGCCUUUGAUACUGAAGAUCUUGAGUUCGGGAGAGGUGAGUGGAACUGCGAGUGUAGAGGUGAAAUUCGUAGAUAUUCGCAAGAACACCAGUGGCGAAGGCGGCUCACUGGCCCGAUACUGACGCUGAGGCACGAAAGCGUGGGGAGCAAACAGGAUUAGAUACCCCAGUAGUCCCUGUCUCUUAUAC
rnacentral:rRNA from 1 species